rnacentral:rRNA from 2 species
UUACCAGAGUACUAUGAAUAUAAAAAAUUUAAAACUCAAAGAACUUGGCGGUGUUUUAGACCACUUAGGGGAACCUGUCUCGUAAUCGAUAAUCCACGUUGUAUCUGACCUUUUCUUGUUUUCAGCUUGUAUACCGUUGUCGUCAGGUAACUUUUUAGAGAUCAGAAGUUAGCAAUAGAAAUAUGGUGAUUUAAUACGUCAAAUCAAGGUGCAGCUAAUGAAGAGGGGAGGAUGGGUUACAAUUAUAUAAUUUAUAAUACGGAAACAUGUAUGAAAUAUGCAUUGGUUUAAAGGCGGACUUGAAAGUAAAUUAAGUUAUAUAGAUAAUUUGAAUAAGGCUCUGAAACGUGU